rnacentral:ncRNA from 1 species
GGGUGCAGCGUCGUUUGCUGCAGGAUGAGGAUGGUCGGGCCGCCAUCC